GACGUAGGGCGCGAGCGUUGUCCGGAUUUAUUGGGCGUAAAGGGUGCGUAGGCGGCGGAGUAAGUUGGGUGUGAAAUCCCGGGGCUUAACCUCGGAAUUGCAUUCAAUACUGCUUCGCUUGAGUACUGGAGAGGAGGCUGGAAUUUACGGUGUAGCAGUGAAAUGCGUAGAUAUCGUAAGGAAGGCCGGUGGCGAAAGCGAGCCUCUGGACAGUUACUGACGCUGAUGCACGAAGGCCAGGGGAGCAAACGGG
rnacentral:rRNA from 1 species